rnacentral:rRNA from 1 species
UACGGAGGAUGCAAGCGUUGUCCGGAAUCAUUGGGCGUAAAGCGCGUGUAGGCGGUCCGGUAAGUCCGCUGUGAAAGUCGGGGGCUCAACCCUCGAAAGCCGGUGGAAACUGUCGGGCUAGAGUGCGGAAGAGGCGAGUGGAAUUCCUGGUGUAGCGGUGAAAUGCGCAGAUAUCAGGAGGAACACCAAUUGCGAAGGCAGCUCGCUGGGACGUUACUGACGCUGAGACGCGAAAGCGUGGGGAGCGAACAGG